rnacentral:rRNA from 1 species
ACAGAGGGGGCUAGCGUUAUUCGGAAUUAUUGGGCGUAAAGGGCGCGUAGGCGGCUUUGCAUGUCUUCCGUGAAAUCCCUCGGCUCAACCGAGGACGUGCGGAAGAAACUGCAAGGCUCGAGUCCGGAGAGGGGGGCGGAAUUCCCAGUGUAGCGGUGAAAUGCGUAGAUAUUGGGAGGAACACCAGUGGCGAAGGCGGUUCCCUGGGCCGGUACUGACGCUGAGGCGCGAAAGCGUGGGGAGCAAACAGGA